UUCUACCUUCGACAUGUUUCCAGCGGCACAGCGGUCACUGACGAUUAUGGUCGGGGAAGAUUUGGACGAAUCUGGAGGAGGCGAACAUGGGUCUUUGGAAUGCUAGGCAUAACAGGCAUGAGAAGGCGGCCCAUUCUGAGGCUAGUCAGAAAACAGUCCUGGUGGCACUUGAUCCCAGUCAUAAGGUGUUAUGAUUGCCAAGGGACCACUAUCAUCUCAGAUCAAUAGAGGGUUUAGAUGACGGCACUGGCUAAUAGUGGAUAUGUUCACUAUUCAGUAAACUACAGCGGGUCAUUUGUAAACGCAGAAACAGGUGCCCAUAC